UACGUAGGGGGCUAGCGUUAUCCGGAUUUACUGGGCGUAAAGGGCAAGUAGGCGGUGGCCAAAGUUGGGCGUGACAUCUCCCGGCUCAACUGGGAGGGGUCGUUCAAAACUAGGUCACUAGAGGGCAGGAGAGGGAAGCGGAAUUCCUAGUGUAGCGGUGGAAUGCUCAGAUAUUAGGAAGAACACCAGUGGCGAAGGCGGCUUCCUGGCCUGUACCUGACGCUGAGAGGCGAAAGCUAGGGUAGCAAACGGGAUUAGAUACCCCGGUAGUCCCUGAGCGGG
rnacentral:rRNA from 1 species